rnacentral:rRNA from 1 species
AUACGGAGGGGACUAGCGUUGUUCGGAUUUACUGGGCGUAAAGCGCGCGUAGGCGGUUUGGAAAGUCAGAUGUGAAAUCCCAGGGCUCAACCCUGGAACUGCAUUUGAAACUAUCAGACUAGAGAUUGGGAGAGGUAAGUGGAAUUCCGAGUGUAGAGGUGAAAUUCGUAGAUAUUCGGAGGAACACCAGAGGCGAAGGCGACUUACUGGACCAAUACUGACGCUGAGGUACGAAAGCGUGGGGAGCAAACAGGAUUAGAAACCCUAGUAGUCC